rnacentral:rRNA from 1 species
UUGCUAAGGCCGAUGGCGACCGGCGCACGGGUGAGUAACACGUAUCCAACCUGCCGAUAACUCGGGGAUAGCCUUUCGAAAGAAAGAUUAAUACCCGAUGGCAUAAUAGAACCGCAUGGUUUGAUUAUUAAAGAAUUUCGGUUAUCGAUGGGGAUGCGUUCCAUUAGGCAGUUGGUGGGGUAACGGCCCACCAAACCUUCGAUGGAUAGGGGUUCUGAGAGGAAGGUCCCCCACAUUGGAACUGAGACACGGUCCAAACUCCUACGGGAGGCAGCAUG